rnacentral:rRNA from 1 species
CCUACGGGAGGCAGCAGUGAGGAAUAUUGGUCAAUGGGCGAGAGUCUGAACCAGCCAAGUAGCGUGAAGGAUGACUGCCCUAUGGGUUGUAAACUUCUUUUAUAUAGGAAUAAAGUGUAGCACGUGUGCUGUUUUGUAUGUACUUUAUGAAUAAGGAUCGGCUAACGCCGUGCCAGCAGCCGCGGUAAUACGGAGGAUCCGAGCGUUAUCCGGAUUUAUUGGGUUUAAAGGGAGCGUAGGUGGGUUGUUAAGUCAGUUGUGAAAGUUUGCGGCUCAACCGUAAAAUUGCAGUUGAUACUGGCAGUCUUGAGUACAGUAGAGGUAGGCGGAAUUCGUGGUGUAGCGGUGAAAUGCUUAGAUAUCACGAAGAACACCGAUUGCGAAGGCAGCUUACUAGACUACAACUGACGUUGAGGCUCGAAAGUGUGGGUAUCAAACAGGAUUAGAUACCCGAGUAGUC